GUGCCUGUAGCUCAAAAGAGUAGGGCGCUGGCCCCAUAUGCCAGAGGUGGUGGGUUCAAAUCCAGCCCUGGACA
rnacentral:tRNA from 1 species